UUCCACCUCAAAUUUCAAGAUCCCGUCCUCCCCAUCGCUCAAUCGAAGUUCAUCAAUUCCUGCAAUGGAAUCCAGAAACUCAAAACGAAAAAAAAAAAAAACUAUACUUAUCACGUUCAAUGGAGAAAAGAAACAACCAUAAGCUUCUCACAAAGAUGGAGAAAAAACUCUAACUCUCGUUCACUUGAUAAGAGAUGAACCGUCGCAUGGCCCUUGCUCGUCUUGUUUCGAAAACCUAGUUUACCCAAAAACCCUAGCAGAGCCUUAUUUUAUAGUUUUAAUAACUAGACCAUCGACUCGUGCUUACACACGGGUCAUUGACAAUGAAAUAUAAAAUAAUAUGAGUGCAAUGACAUAGUUCAUUCCAUAAUGAAACAUCU
rnacentral:lncRNA from 1 species